GCCCGGGUGGCGAAACUGGUAGACGCAAGGGACUUAAAAUCCCUCGGGGGCGACCCCGUGCCGGUUCGAUUCCGGCCCCGGGCACCA
rnacentral:tRNA from 1 species